rfam:Triticum aestivum genome assembly, contig: Triticum_aestivum_CS42_TGACv1_scaffold_032508_1BL
CAUCUACUUCCUCCGUUCGGAAUUACUCGUCCAAAAAAUAAAUGUAUCUGAAUGUAUUUUAGUUAUAAAUACAUCCAUUUUUAAUUUUUUUUAUGAUAAGUAAUUCCGAACGGAGGGAGCACGUG